rnacentral:rRNA from 1 species
GAUGAACGCUGGCGGCGUGCCUAAUACAUGCAAGUCGAGCGAACAGACGAGGAGCUUGCUCCUCUGACGUUAGCGGCGGACGGGUGAGUAACACGUGGAUAGCCUCCCUAUAAGACUGGGAUAACUUCGGGAAACCGGCGCUAAUACCGGAUAAUAUAUUGAACCGCAUGGUUCAAUAGUGAAAGACGGUUUUGCUGUCACUUAUAGAUGGAUCCGCGCCGCAUUAGCUAGUUGGUAAGGUAACGGCUUACCAAGGCAACGAUGCGUAGCCGACCUGAGAGGGUGGUCGGCCACACUGGAACGGAGACACGGUCCAGACUCCUAAGGGAGGCAGCAGUAGGGAAUCUUCCGCAAUGGGCGAAAGCCUGACGGAGCAACGCCGCGUGAGUGAUGAAGGUCUUCGGAUCGUAAAACUCUGUUAUUAGGGAAGAACAAAUGUGUAAGUAACUAUGCACGUCUUGACGGUACCUAAUCAGAAAGCCACGGCUAACUACGUG